AACGAACGCUGGCGGCAGGCCUAACACAUGCAAGUCGAGCGCACCUUCGGGUGAGCGGCGGACGGGUUAGUAACGCGUGGGAACAUACCCUUUUCUACGGAAUAGCCUCGGGAAACUGAGAGUAAUACCGUAUAAGCCCUUCGGGGGAAAGAUUUAUCGGGAAAGGAUUGGCCCGCGUUAGAUUAGAUAGUUGGUGGGGUAAUGGCCUACCAAGUCUACGAUCUAUAGCUGGUUUUAGAGGAUGAUCAGCAACACUGGGACGUGAGACACGGCCCAGACUCCUACGGGAGGCAGCAGUGGGGAAUCUUAGACAAUGGGCGCAAGCCUGAUCUAGCCAUGCCGCGUGUGUGAUGAAGGUCUUAGGAUCGUAAAGCACUUUCGCCAGGGAUGAUAAUGACAGUACCUGGUAAAGAAACCCCGCUAACU
rnacentral:rRNA from 1 species